UAGGGAAUCUUCCACAAUGGACGCAAGUCUGAUGGAGCAACGCCGCGUGAGUGAAGAAGGUUUUCGGACCGUAAAGCUCUGUUGUUGGUGAAGAAGGAUAGAGGUAGUAACUGGCCUUUAUUUGACGGUAAUCAACCAGAAAGUCACGGCUAACUACGUGCCAGCAGCCGCGGUAAUACGUAGGUGGCAAGCGUUGUCCGGAUUUAUUGGGCGUAAAGCGAGCGCAGGCGGAAGAAUAAGUCUGAUGUGAAAGCCCUCGGCUUAACCGAGGAAUUGCAUCGGAAACUGUUUUCUUGAGUGCAGAAGAG
rnacentral:rRNA from 1 species